rnacentral:rRNA from 1 species
UGACGCAGGGAGGUAGUGACAAGAAAUAACAAAGCAGGUGCCUACGGCAUUCUGCUAUUGGAAUGAGUUAAAUUUAAAUCUCUUUUCGACUAUCAAUUGGAGGGCAAGUCUGGUGCCAGCAGCCGCGGUAAUUCCAGCUCCAAUAGCGUAUAUUAAAGUUGUUGCGGUUAAAAAGUUCGUAGUUGGAUUUCUGCUGGAUUCGGUCGGUCCGUGCUAUGCGCGAGUAUCUGUCCGAGCCCGGCAUCCUCGCGGAUCACGUUCCUGUGCUUCACUGCAUGGGUCGGAGUUCGCGACUUUUACUUUGAGGAAAUUAGAGUGUUCACGGCAGGCUAACGCCAUGAAUAUAUUAGCAUGGAAUAAUAAUAUAGGACCUUGGUUCUAUUUUGUUGGUUUCUAGGGCUAAGGUAAUGAUUAAUAGGGACAAUUGGGGGCAUUCGUAUUAACGCGUCAGAGGUGGAAUUCUUGGAUUGCGUUACGACGAACUACUGCGAAAGCAUUUGCCAAGGAUGUUUUCAUUGAUCAAGAGCGAAAGUAAGGGGAUCGAAGACGAUUAGAUACCGUCGUAGUCUUUACCAUAAACUAUGCCAACUAGAGAUGGGGCGUUGUUACCUUUUGACAUGCUCUGCACCUUAUGAGAAAUCAAAGUCUUUGGGUUCCGGGGGGAGUAUGGUCGCAAGUCUGAAACUUAAAGAAAUUGACGGAAGGGCACCACCAGGAGUGGAACCUG